rnacentral:rRNA from 1 species
GCCUAGCUUGCUAAGCUUGUUUUUAGUGGCGCACGGGUGAGUAACACGUGAGUUACCUGCCCCCAAGAGUGGGAUAGCCCCGGGAAACUGGGAUUAAUACCGCAUAAUAUCGCAAGAUUAAAGGUGCAAACCGCUUGGGGAUGGGCUCGCGGCCUAUUAGUUAGUUGGUGAGGUAACGGCUCACCAAGGCGAUGACGGGUAGCCGGUCUGAGAGGAUGUCCGGCCACACUGGAACUGAGACACGGUCCAGACACCUACGGGUGGCAGCAGUCGAGAAUCAUUCACAAUGGGGGAAACCCUGAUGGUGCGACGCCGCGUGGGGGAGCGAAGGUCUUCGGAUUGUAAACCCCUGUCAAGUGGGAGCAAAUUAAAAAGAUAGUACCACUAGAGGAAGAGACGGCUAACUCUGUGCCAGCAGCCGCGGUAAUACAGAGGUCUCAAGCGUUGUUCGGAAUCACUGGGCGUAAAGCGUACGUAGGCGGCUUGGUAAGUCGUGUGUGAAAGGCAGGGGCUCAACCUCUGGACUGCACAUGAUACUGCCAGGCUAGAGUAAUGGAGGGGAAACCGGAAUUCUCGGUGUAGCAGUGAAAUGCGUAGAUAUCGAGAGGAACACUCGUG